CCUACGGGUGGCAGCAGUGGGGAAUAUUGGGCAAUGGAGGAAACUCUGACCCAGCGACGCCGCGUGAAUGAUGAAGGUCUUCGGAAUGUAAAGUUCUUUUCUCAGGGAAGAAAAAAGUGACGCUACAUUAGGAAUAAGCCUCUGCUAACUACGUGCCAGCAGCAGCUGUAAUACGGAGGAGGCAAUCAUUAUCCGGAAUUGCUGGGCAUAAAGGCUGCGUAGGUGGUUUGACAAUUUAGUAGUGUAACUCCGAGGCUUAACCUUGGCACUCCUGUCAAAACUGUUGUGCUCGUGUGCAGGAGGGGGAAGUGGAAUUCCUAGUGUAGCGGUGGAAUGCGUAGAUAGUAGGAGGAACACCAGUGGCGAAGGCGAUUUGCUGGACUGUAACUGACGCUGAGGCACGAAAGCGUGGGGAGCAAACAGGAUUAGAUACCCGUGUAGUC
rnacentral:rRNA from 1 species